UUGUCAUUGAUGUUCUUGACGAGUCGGAGUUUUAAAAUUUUAUUGUAUUUAUAAACAUUGUAUUGAUAUCUGAAAGUGGUUUAAUUUGGGUUUAAAUGUGUACUAUUUAAUUACUUUAUUAUUUCGUUGUUACUUUAUGAUAUUAUUAAAUUAUGGUGAUGUAAGUUUGUUUUUUGUUACGUCUCAAAGUCUGAAGAUACGAAUCAAUUAAAAUUAGAGGAAUGGACACAAAGUUAUAAUUCUGCACAUGCCACUUAUCAGUUGGGAUUACUUCUUUCACAUAAUAGCUGUAACUUCGGACUGUGGGUGAUCAUCAGACAGUUGGUCACCCCAGCUACUGCCGGCUGCAGCAAGGUUUCUGAUGACCUGGGCUGCGCACACGCACGCUACGCUGCCACCUUCACUACACUAUGCUUGACAGGUAGGUUAAAUCAGGGACUUUGGUUAGGUUCUUGUUGUAAUAUAAAUAUGCUGGAUACUUAAAUUAUUAUAGUGAUUCACCACGAAGACAAAACUGGAAGACGUGUCUAUAAAUCUACAGAAAAAUCUACGAAACUUAUUCCUAAGCAUAAUCUGUUAUCCAGCAUAUAUGUUUGUAUAUUAGAUCAUGUUCAUGAACUGGUAAAUGCAUAGCAGUUCUCAUCCGCCCGCCUUGUGGCCAUGCAGUAAAAUUGCUAAGAUUGAUGUAGCCGACCUUGGAACGCUUUUAUCUAGGCUUUUAGUUACUAACAUAGAUUGUUUUCUCUUUUUUAUUUCGAUAUCUGUGUUUACCUAACUUUUUUAUAUAAAACUUAAUAUAUU
rnacentral:lncRNA from 1 species